UACGAAGGGGGCUAGCGUUGUUCGGAAUUACUGGGCGUAAAGCGCACGUAGGCGGAUAUUUAAGUCAGGGGUGAAAUCCCAGAGCUCAACUCUGGAACUGCCUUUGAUACUGGGUAUCUUGAGUAUGGAAGAGGUAAGUGGAAUUGCGAGUGUAGAGGUGAAAUUCGUAGAUAUUCGCAGGAACACCAGUGGCGAAGGCGGCUUACUGGUCCAUAACUGACGACUGAG
rnacentral:rRNA from 1 species